UACAGUAGGAUGUGAAGGCCACAAAUAGG
rnacentral:piRNA from 1 species